rnacentral:rRNA from 1 species
GACGAACGCUGGCGGCGUGCUUAACACAUGCAAGUCGAGCGGAGCGGCCAACGGGUGCGUAACGCGUUCGUAACUGCCCCCCUCUCUGGGAUAACAGUUGGAAACUGCUCCUAAUACCGGCUAGUGGGUGAUGUCUCGGCUCCUAUCUGCUGUGUGGUGGGGUAGUGGCCUACCAAGGCGACGACGGGUAGCCGGCCUGGGAGGGCGACCGGCCACAUUGGGCUGGGAUACGGCCCAAACUCCUACGGGAGGCAGGCGUGGGGAAGAUUGAACAAUGGGGGAAACCCUGAUGCAGCAACGCCGCGGGCGGGAUGAGGGCGUUCGGGUUGUAAACCGCUUUCAGCCAUGACGCGGUAGAGGAAGAAGAAGCACCGGCUAACUACGUGCCAGCAGCCGCGGUAA